GACGAACGCUGGCGGCGUGCUUAACACAUGCAAGUCGAACGAUGACGACCGAGCUUGCUCGGUCUGAUUAGUGGCGAACGGGUGAGUAACACGUGAGUAACCUGCCCUUCACUCUGGGAUAACUUCGGGAAAUCGGGGCUAAUACCGGAUAUGAGCUCCUGUCGCAUGGCGGGUGUUGGAAAGUUUUUCGGUGAAGGAUGGGCUCGCGGCCUAUCAGUUUGUUGGUGGGGUAGUGGCUCACCAAGGCGAUGACGGGUAGCCGGCCUGAGAGGGCGACCGGCCACACUGGGACUGAGACACGGCCCAGACUCCUACGGGAGGCAGCAGUGGGGAAUAUUGCACAAUGGGCGGAAGCCUGAUGCAGCGACGCCGCGUGAGGGAUGACGGCCUUCGGGUUGUAAACCUCUUUCAGCAGGGAAGAAGCGAAAGUGACGGUACCUGCAGAAGAAGCGCCGGCUAACUACGUG
rnacentral:rRNA from 1 species